UAUUUAUUCUCAACUGUUUAUUCUACACAAACUGAGUACGUAGGGUGAAGUUGUUCAUAGUCCUUCUAUAAUGAUGAUGGUGUUUAACUGUGGAUACAGUCCUUCUAUAAUGAUGAUGGUGUUUAACUGUGGAUUCAUAGUCCUUCUAUAAUGAUGAUGGUGUUUAACUGUGGAUACAGUCCUUCUAUAAUGAUGAUGGUGUUUAACUGUGGAUACAGUCCUUCUAUAAUGAUGAUGGUGUUUAACUGUGGAUACAGUCCUUCUAUAAUGAUGACGGUGUUUACCUGUGGAUACAUAGUCCUUCUAUAAUGAUGAUGGUGUUUAACUGUGGAUACAGUCCUUCUAUAAUGAUGAUGGUGUUUAACUGUGGAUUCAUAGUCCUUCUAUAAUGAUGAUGGCGUUUAACUAACUGUGGAUACAUAGUCCUUCUAUAAUGAUGAUGGUGUUUAACUAACUGUGGAUUCAUAGUCCUUCUAUAAUGAUGAUGGUGUUUAACUGUGGAUACAUAGUCCUUCUAUAAUGAUGACGGUGUUUACCUGUGGAUACAUAGUCCUUCUAUAAUGAUGAUGGCGUUUAACUAACUGUGGAUACAUAGUCCUUCUAUAAUGAUGAUGGUGUUUAACUAACUGUGGAUUCAUAGUCCUUCUAUAAUGAUGAUGGUGUUUAACUAACUGUGGAUUCAUAGUCCUUCUAUAAUGAUGAUGGUAUGUAACUAACUGUGGAUACAUAGUCCUUCUAUAAUGAUGACGGUGUUUACCUGUGGAUACAUAGUCCUUCUAUAAUGAUGAUGCUGUAUAACUAACUGUGGAUAAAGCUGGGGACUGUUGUGGAAUAUGGUAACUGAAUUAUUAUGGCUAGAAUGAAUGAUUAUUAUUAGAUAAUCUACAGCUAGGAACUGUACUGACUACUAGGUAUUCACCAGAGUGAGGCCCUUCUCUCUCACACCGACACACGUUCUCCUGCUCUUCUCUCUCUCUGCAUCUCCUUGGAUCCACACCGACACUCAUUUUCUGUCCUCUCCUCCUGUCUCUCCAUCCCACUCUCCACUCCUCCUUAGUGACCUGUCUCCCUCCGAGACCAAAACGCUAUUUCCCUUUCUGGCUCACCUCCCUUACUUCUUUACAUAAUCUGACAAUCUCACUCUCUCUCCCUAUCUCUCUCUCUCUCUCCCUAUCUCUCUCUCUCUCUCUCUCUCUCUCCCUAUCUCUCUCUCUCUCUCUCUCUCUCUCUCCACAUAUCUCUCUCUCUCUCUCUCUCUCUCUCUCUCUCUCUAUCUCUCUCUCUCUCUCUCUCUCUCUCUCCACAUAUCUCUCUCUCUCUCUCUCCCUAUCUCUCUCUCUCUCUCUACGGAGUGACGUCGGUGUUAAGAAGAAGAUGGCGGCGCCAGGAAAGGCGGAAGGUGAUGUAUGUCUGCCUUCAUUCCAGAUGUCUGGCUGCCUUCAUUUCAGAUUCGGUUACUAGUCCAACGCUCUAACCACUAGGCUACACUGCCGUG
rnacentral:lncRNA from 1 species